rnacentral:lncRNA from 1 species
UCUCAGCUACUUGUGCUUCCAUGGCUGCCAGGUGCUUGGUUGCCAUUUAGUGAACAUGGGAUUGGUGAGGUAGUCCGGUCGAUGCAGCGUUGGAAGUUGGCUCUCAGUAACCAGUGUUCCUCUCAAUUGAUAUAAGAUGGUCGAGUCUACAGAGCUGCCGGGAAAAGAAGAAGAACAGAAAGGGCAGCGGGUGGCCGAAACAAGACAAUUCCUAAUCAAUCCAUGCCUCGCCGAGUCCACUUGAUGGCUAGAUAUGUCACGUGGCUAGGUAUAGCCAGACGCCCACUCUGGACCUGCCAUUCUUGUAUAGGGCCCUCUAAGUGUGGGUCCCACCUUGUCAGGCACGUCUCCUUGUCGCCAUGGUUCUCCAUACCUAUCUCUUGAUGCACACUGAUGCUGCCAUCCUUCCAGUUGCAACAUGAAUCUUUAUGCAAUCAUGCAUGCUAGCUCGCUCACUGUUUGAAGUUCUCAGAUGAAUCAACUAGAACAAUAGCAUCACAUCUGCUGUUUCCCGGCCUUGAAN